rnacentral:rRNA from 1 species
UUAAGCGACUAAGCGUACACGGUGGAUGCCCUGGCAGUCAGAGGCGAUGAAGGACGUGCUAAUCUGCGAUAAGCGUCGGUGAGGUGAUAUGAACCGUUAUAACCGGCGAUUUCCGAAUGGGGAAACCCAGUGUGUUUCGACACACUAUCAUUAACUGAAUCCAUAGGUUAAUGAGGCGAACCGGGGGAACUGAAACAUCUAAGUACCCCGAGGAAAAGAAAUCAACCGAGAUUCCCCCAGUAGCGGCGAGCGAACGGGGAGGAGCCCAGAGCCUGAAUCAGUGUGUGUGUUAGUGGAAGCGUCUGGAAAGGCGCGCGAUACAGGGUGACAGCCCCGUACACAAAAAUGCACAUGCUGUGAGCUCGAUGAGUAGGGCGGGACACGUGGUAUCCUGUCUGAAUAUGGGGGGACCAUCCUCCAAGGCUAAAUACUCCUGACUGACCGAUAGUGAACCAGUACCGUGAGGGAAAGGCGAAAAGAACCCCGGCGAGGGGAGUGAAAAAGAACCUGAAACCGUGUACGUACAAGCAGUGGGAGCCUCUUUAUGGGGUGACUGCGUACCUUUUGUAUAAUGGGUCAGCGACUUAUAUUCUGUAGCAAGGUUAACCGAAUAGGGGAGCCGAAGGGAAACCGAGUUUUAACUGGGCGUUAAGUUGCAGGGUAUAGACCCGAAACCCGGUGAUCUAGCCAUGGGCAGGUUGAAGGUUGGGUAACACUAACUGGAGGACCGAACCGACUAAUGUUGAAAAAUUAGCGGAUGACUUGUGGCUGGGGGUGAAAGGCCAAUCAAACCGGGAGAUAGCUGGUUCUCCCCGAAAGCUAUUUAGGUAGCGCCUCGUGAAUUCAUCUCCGGGGGUAGAGCACUGUUUCGGCAAGGGGGUCAUCCCGACUUACCAACCCGAUGCAAACUGCGAAUACCGGAGAAUGUUAUCACGGGAGACACACGGCGGGUGCUAACGUCCGUCGUGAAGAGGGAAACAACCCAGACCGCCAGCUAAGGUCCCAAAGUCAUGGUUAAGUGGGAAACGAUGUGGGAAGGCCCAGACAGCCAGGAUGUUGGCUUAGAAGCAGCCAUCAUUUAAAGAAAGCGUAAUAGCUCACUGGUCGAGUCGGCCUGCGCGGAAGAUGUAACGGGGCUAAACCAUGCACCGAAGCUGCGGCAGCGACACUAUGCGUUGUUGGGUAGGGGAGCGUUCUGUAAGCCUGUGAAGGUGGCCUGUGAGGGUUGCUGGAGGUAUCAGAAGUGCGAAUGCUGACAUAAGUAACGAUAAAGCGGGUGAAAAGCCCGCUCGCCGGAAGACCAAGGGUUCCUGUCCAACGUUAAUCGGGGCAGGGUGAGUCGACCCCUAAGGCGAGGCCGAAAGGCGUAGUCGAUGGGAAACAGGUUAAUAUUCCUGUACUUGGUGUUACUGCGAAGGGGGGACGGAGAAGGCUAUGUUGGCCGGGCGACGGUUGUCCCGGUUUAAGCGUGUAGGCUGGUUUUCCAGGCAAAUCCGGAAAACCAAGGCUGAGGCGUGAUGACGAGGCACUACGGUGCUGAAGCGACAAAUGCCCUGCUUCCAGGAAAAGCCUCUAAGCAUCAGGUAACAUCAAAUCGUACCCCAAACCGACACAGGUGGUCAGGUAGAGAAUACCAAGGCGCUUGAGAGAACUCGGGUGAAGGAACUAGGCAAAAUGGUGCCGUAACUUCGGGAGAAGGCACGCUGAUAUGUAGGUGAAGCGACUUGCUCGUGGAGCUGAAAUCAGUCGAAGAUACCAGCUGGCUGCAACUGUUUAUUAAAAACACAGCACUGUGCAAACACGAAAGUGGACGUAUACGGUGUGACGCCUGCCCGGUGCCGGAAGGUUAAUUGAUGGGGUUAGCGGCAACGCGAAGCUCUUGAUCGAAGCCCCGGUAAACGGCGGCCGUAACUAUAACGGUCCUAAGGUAGCGAAAUUCCUUGUCGGGUAAGUUCCGACCUGCACGAAUGGCGUAAUGAUGGCCAGGCUGUCUCCACCCGAGACUCAGUGAAAUUGAACUCGCUGUGAAGAUGCAGUGUACCCGCGGCAAGACGGAAAGACCCCGUGAACCUUUACUAUAGCUUGACACUGAACAUUGAGCCUUGAUGUGUAGGAUAGGUGGGAGGCUUUGAAGUGUGGACGCCAGUCUGCAUGGAGCCGACCUUGAAAUACCACCCUUUAAUGUUUGAUGUUCUAACGUUGGCCCGUAAUCCGGGUUGCGGACAGUGUCUGGUGGGUAGUUUGACUGGGGCGGUCUCCUCCUAAAGAGUAACGGAGGAGCACGAAGGUUGGCUAAUCCUGGUCGGACAUCAGGAGGUUAGUGCAAUGGCAUAAGCCAGCUUGACUGCGAGCGUGACGGCGCGAGCAGGUGCGAAAGCAGGUCAUAGUGAUCCGGUGGUUCUGAAUGGAAGGGCCAUCGCUCAACGGAUAAAAGGUACUCCGGGGAUAACAGGCUGAUACCGCCCAAGAGUUCAUAUCGACGGCGGUGUUUGGCACCUCGAUGUCGGCUCAUCACAUCCUGGGGCUGAAGUAGGUCCCAAGGGUAUGGCUGUUCGCCAUUUAAAGUGGUACGCGAGCUGGGUUUAGAACGUCGUGAGACAGUUCGGUCCCUAUCUGCCGUGGGCGCUGGAGAACUGAGGGGGGCUGCUCCUAGUACGAGAGGACCGGAGUGGACGCAUCACUGGUGUUCGGGUUGUCAUGCCAAUGGCACUGCCCGGUAGCUAAAUGCGGAAGAGAUAAGUGCUGAAAGCAUCUAAGCACGAAACUUGCCCCGAGAUGAGUUCUCCCUGACUCCUUGAGAGUCCUGAAGGAACGUUGAAGACGACGACGUUGAUAGGCCGGGUGUGUAAGCGCAGCGAUGCGUUGAGCUAACCGGUACUAAUGAACCGUGAGGCUUAACCUU